GUGGAUUAGACAUGCAAGUCGUGCGACAGACUAGGAAUUGAUUACUUCGGUUUGAUUUUCCUAACGAUGAGCGGCGAACGGGUGCGUAACACGUGAGAAACCUGCCCUUAAGUUCGGGAUAGCCCUACGAAAGUAGGAUUAAUACCGAAUGUGGCCCGAGGAUAGCAUUUUCCUUUGGUUAAAGCUCGGUUAUAGAGCGCUUUUGGAUGGUCUCGCGGUCUAUCAGCUUGUUGGUGAGGUAACGGCUCACCAAGGCUCUGACGGAUAGCUGGUCUGAGAGGAUGAUCAGCCACACUGGAACUGAGAUACGGUCCAGACACCUACGGGUGGCAGCAGUCGAGAAUCAUUCACAAUGGGCGCAAGCCUGAUGGUGCGACGCCGCGUGGGGGAUGAAGGGCUUCGGUUCGUAAACCCCUGUCAUCUGUGAGUAAGGCUCCCAAUAAAAGCUUGGGAGAUUGAUAUUAGCAGAAGAGGAAGGGACGGCUAACUCAGUGCCAGCAGCCGCGGUAAUACUGAGGUCCCAAGCGUUGUUCGGAUUUACUGGGCGUAAAGGGUGCGUAGGCGGCUAUAAAAGUUUGAUGUGAAAUCUCCGGGCUCAACCCGGAAACUGCAUUGAAAACUAGAUAGCUAGAGGGUCGGAGAGGAGAUUGGAAUUCUCAGUGUAGCAGUGAAAUGCGUAGAUAUUGAGAGGAACACCAGUUGCGAAGGCGGAUCUCUGGACGACUCCUGACGCUGAGGCACGAAAGCUGGGGUAGCGAAGAGGAUUAGAUACCCUCGUAGUCCCAGCCGUAAACGGUGCGCACUUGCUGUGGGCGGAUUCGACCCCGUCCGUGGCGAAGCUAACGCGUUAAGUGCGCCGCCUGGGGAGUACGGUC
rnacentral:rRNA from 1 species